UGCGUAGGCGGGUCUUUAAGUCAGGGGUGAAAUCCUGGAGCUCAACUCCAGAACUGCCUUUGAUACUGAAGAUCUUGAGUUCGGGAGAGGUGAGUGGAACUGCGAGUGUAGAGGUGAAAUUCGUAGAUAUUCGCAAGAACACCAGUGGCGAAGGCGGCUCACUGGCCCAAUACUGACGCUGAGGCACGAAAGCUGGGGGAGCAAACA
rnacentral:rRNA from 1 species